GAUCAUGGCUCAGGACGAACGCUGGCGGCGUGCCUAAUACAUGCAAGUCGAACGGGCCACUGAAUUCGGUUGGUGGUUAGUGGCGAACGGGUGAGUAACGCGUGAGGAACCUGACCCACAGAGGGGGAUAACACCUGGAAACGGGUGCUAAUACCGCAUAAGACCUCAAUGUCGCAUGGACGAAAGGGGUCAAAGGAGCAAUCCGCUGAGGGAGGGACUCGCGUCCAUUAGAUAGUUGGUGAGGUAACGGCCCACCAAGUCGACGAUGGGUAGCCGAGCUGAGAGGCUGAUCGGCCACACUGGAACUGAGACACGGUCCAGACUCCGUACGGGAGGCAGCAGGUAGGGAAUAGUUGGGCAAUGGGGGGAACCCUGAACCCCCAGCAACGCCGCGUGAGGGAAGAAGGUUUUCGGAUUGUAAACCUCUGUCCUAUGUGACGAAGGAAGUGACGGUAGCAUAGGAGGAAGCCCCGGCUAACUACGUGCCAGCCGCAGC
rnacentral:rRNA from 1 species